AUUGAACGCUGGCGGCAGGCCUAACACAUGCAAGUCGAACGAGUGGCGGACGGGUGAGUAAUGUCUGGGAAACUGCCUGAUGGAGGGGGGUAACUACUGGAAACGGUAGCUAAUACCGCAUACCAUCAGAUGUGCCCAGAUGGGAUUAGCUUGUUGGUGGGGUAACGGCUCACCAGGGCGACGAUCCCUAGCUGGUCUGAGAGGAUGACCAGCACCCUUGGACCUGGGCCACGGUCAGAACUCCUCCGGGAGGAAGCAGAGGGGAAUAUGGCACAAUGGGCGCAAGCCUGAUGCAGCCAUGCCGCGUGUAUGAAGAAGGCCUUCGGGUGGUAAAGUACUUUCAGCGGGGAGGCGUUACUCGCAGAAGAAGCACCGGCUAACUCCGUGCCAGCAGCCGCGGUAAUUC
rnacentral:rRNA from 1 species